AACGAACGCUGGCGGCAUGCCUAACACAUGCAAGUCGAACGAGACCUUCGGGUCUAGUGGCGCACGGGUGCGUAACGCGUGGGAACCUGCCCUUAGGUUCGGAAUAACUCCCCGAAAGGGGUGCUAAUACCGGAUAAUGUCUUCGGACCAAAGAUUUAUCGCCUUUGGAUGGGCCCGCGUUGGAUUAGCUAGUUGGUAGGGUAAAAGCCUACCAAGGCGACGAUCCAUAGCUGGUCUGAGAGGAUGAUCAGCCACACUGGGACUGAGACACGGCCCAGACUCCUACGGGAGGCAGCAGUGGGGAAUAUUGGACAAUGGGCGAAAGGCUGAUCCGGCAAUGCCGCGUGAGUGAUGAAGGCCUUAGGGUUGUAAAGCUCUUUUACCCGGGAUGAUAAUGACAGUACCGGGAGAAUAAGCUCCGGCUAACUCCGUG
rnacentral:rRNA from 1 species